UACGGAGGGGGCUAGCGUUGUUCGGAAUUACUGGGCGUAAAGCGCGCGUAGGCGGCUUUGUAAGUUAGAGGUGAAAGCCCGGAGCUCAACUCCGGAAACUGCCUUUAAGACUGCAUCGCUAGAAUUGUGGAGAGGUGAGUGGAAUUCCGAGUGUAGAGGUGAAAUUCGUAGAUAUUCGGAAGAACACCAGUGGCGAAGGCGACUCACUGGACACAUAUUGACGCUG
rnacentral:rRNA from 1 species